GACGAACGCUGGCGGCGUGCUUAACACAUGCAAGUCGAACGGUAAGGCCCUUCGGGGUACACGAGUGGCGAACGGGUGAGUAACACGUGGGUGAUCUGCCCUGCACUUCGGGAUAAGCCUGGGAAACUGGGUCUAAUACCGGAUAGGACUCCUGGCUUCAUGGUUGGGGGUGGAAAGCUUUUGCGGUGUGGGAUGGGCCCGCGGCCGAUCAGCUUGUUGGUGGGGUAAUGUACUACCAAGGCGACGACGGGUAGCCGGCCUGAGAGGGUGACCGGUCACACUGGGACUGAGAUACGGCCCAGACUCCUACGGGAGGCAGCAGUGGGGAAUAUUGCACAAUGGGCGCAAGCCUGAUGCAGCGACGCCGCGUGAGGGAUGACGGCCUUCGGGUUGUAAACCUCUUUCAGCUAUGACGAAGCGCAAGUGACGGUAGUAGCAGAAGAAGGACCGGCCAACUACAUGCCAGCAGCCGCGGUAA
rnacentral:rRNA from 1 species